rnacentral:rRNA from 1 species
UACGAAGGGGGCUAGCGUUGUUCGGAAUUACUGGGCGUAAAGCGAACGUAGGCGGUGUUCCAUGUCAGAGGUGAAAGCCUAGGGCUCAACUCCAGAAUUGCCUUUGAAACGGGAACGCUUGAGUCCGAGAGAGGGUGGCGGAAUUCCUAGUGUAGAGGUGAAAUUCGUAGAUAUUAGGAAGAACACCAGUGGCGAAGGCGGCCACCUGGCUCGGUACUGACGCUCAGGUUCGAAAGCGUGGGGAGCAAACAGG